rnacentral:rRNA from 2 species
AUCGGGGUUGCGGACAGUGUCUGGUGGGUAGUUUGACUGGGGCGGUCUCCUCCCAAAGCGUAACGGAGGAGCACGAAGGUUAGCUAAUCCUGGUCGGACAUCAGGAGGUUAGUGCAAUGGCAUAAGCUAGCUUGACUGCGAGCGUGACGGCGCGAGCAGGUGCGAAAGCAGGUCAUAGUGAUCCGGUGGUUCUGAAUGGAAGGGCCAUCGCUCAACGGAUAAAAGGUACUCCGGGGAUAACAGGCUGAUACCGCCCAAGAGUUCAUAUCGACGGCGGUGUUUGGCACCUCGAUGUCGGCUCAUCACAUCCUGGGGCUGAAGUAGGUCCCAAGGGUAUGGCUGUUCGCCAUUUAAAGUGGUACGCGAGCUGGGUUUAGAACGUCGUGAGACAGUUCGGUCCCUAUCUGCCGUGGGCGCUGGAGAAUUGAGGGGGGCUGCUCCUAGUACGAGAGGACCGGAGUGGACGCAUCACUGGUGUUCGGGUUGUCAUGCCAAUGGCACUGCCCGGUAGCUAAAUGCGGAAGAGAUAAGUGCUGAAAGCAUCUAAGCACGAAACUUGCCCCGAGAUGAGUUCUCCCUGAGACUUUAAGUCUCCUGAAGGAACGUUGAAGACGACGACGUUGAUAGGCCGGGUGUGUAAGCGCAGCGAUGCGUUGAGCUAACCGGUACUAAUGAACCGUGAGGCUUAACCUUACAACGCCGAAG